UACGGGGGGUGCAAGCGUUGUUCGGAAUUACUGGGCGUAAAGGGCUCGUAGGUGGCCAACUAAGUCAGACGUGAAAUCCCUCGGCUUAACCGGGGAACUGCGUCUGAUACUGGAUGGCUUGAGUUUGGGAGAGGGAUGCGGAAUUCCAGGUGUAGCGGUGAAAUGCGUAGAUAUCUGGAGGAACACCGGUGGCGAAGGCGGCAUCCUGGGCCAACACUGACACUGAGGAGCGAAAGCCAGGGGAGCAAACGGG
rnacentral:rRNA from 1 species